UUUCCAAAUCCACAGGGAUCCCGACACCUCUGCGCUGGCACUGGCUAAAAAAAAAAAAAAAAACAUCGAAAAAAUAAAAUUAUUUCUACAAAAAAUUAACGAAAAAAAAAAAUAACCCAAACAAACAAACAACCUCCUCAAGGCUGUGGGGAGCAGUGAGGGAGAGCCACAACCCCCAGGAUUCCUGCCUAAAAUUCAAGCUUCCAUGGAUUUUUUUUCCAUUUAAAAUUCCCGAGGGUCAGGGCAUGUCACAGAACCUAAUUAGCAUCUUCCUCCCAUCCUCCAAUCUCACUUGGAUUCUGCCUAUAUUUGUAUUUUUUCUAGUUUUUUUUUUUUUUGUUAAAUAUAUAUAUAUAUAUAUAUAUUUUUUUUUUUUUUUUUUUUUGGGAAUGGGGCUUGGGGGGGGCCAGGCCGCUCCCCCCUUCCCAAAGGCCUCCUGCUCCUUUAGGGGAGACCCCAAAAAAACCUUUUUUUUAAAUUUUUUUUCCCCCCAAAAAAGGAAUUUCAGAGGCGUUUUUGGGGCCCCGCUGGGCGGAGGGAAAAAAAAUUUAAAUUCCCUGGGUGGGUGUGGGGGGGAAAAAAAAAAAUUCCCUGGGGGAGGAGGGGGGGAUUUGGGAUUCCCCCAACCCCCCAAAAUUCUGCCGGCAGCGGGGGCUGGGCUGACUCAGGCACUUCCUGGGCACUGCGGGGUGGGGAUGGAUGUGGGGACACAGGGAUGGACAGAGGGAUGGACAGAGGGAUGGACACAGGGAUGGACACGGUGAUGGACACAGGGAAUGGACAGAGG
rnacentral:lncRNA from 1 species